rnacentral:rRNA from 1 species
CCUACGGGAGGCAGCAGUGAGGAAUAUUGGUCAAUGGGCGCUAGCCUGAACCAGCCAAGUAGCGUGAAGGAUGACUGCCCUAUGGGUUGUAAACUUCUUUUAUAUGGGAAUAAAGUGCAGUAUGUAUACUGCUUUGCAUGUACCUUAUGAAUAAGGAUCGGCUAACUCCGUGCCAGCAGCCGCGGUAAUACGGAGGAUCCGAGCGUUAUCCGGAUUUAUUGGGUUUAAGGGGAACGUAGGCGGGUUGUUAAGUCAGUUGUGAAAGUUUGCGGCUCAACCGGAAAAUUGCAGUUGAUACUGGCAUCCUUGAGUACAGUUGAGGGAGGCGGAAUUCGAGGUGUAGCGGUGAAAUGCGUAGAGAUCACGAAGAACUCCGAUUGCGAAGGCAGCUUACUAAACUGCCACUGACAUUGAUGCGCGAAAGUGUGGGUAUCAAACAGGAUUAGAUACCCCAGUAGUC